rnacentral:rRNA from 1 species
GAGGAAGGCGAGGGCAGCGGUAGGUCAGUAUGCCCGGAAUCCUCCGGGCUACACGCGCGCUACAAAGGCCAGGACAAUGGGUUUUGACACCGAAAGGUGAAGGUAAUCCCGAAACCUGGUCAUAGUUCGGAUUGAGGGUUGCAACUCACCCUCAUGAAGCUGGAAUCCGUAGUAAUCGCGGAUCAACAUCCCGCGGUGAAUAUGCCCCUGCUCCUUGCACACACCGCCCGUCAAACCAUGCGAGUUGGGUCCAAGUGAGGAUGUAGUAUUUUGCUGCGUUCAAACUUGGGCUUAGCAAGCGGGGGUAAGUCGUAACAA